UGCUAAAUUAGAAUCAAAGCUGGUUAAUGUUCUACAGGGCAAUAAGAACCAAAAUAGUGGUGUCUUUUAAAAAAUAAUUUAAUGAACAUAUAGUUUAAGAUAUAGUUUCAUUUCUACAAAGAUGCAUUUAAAAUUACAAUUUUAGAGCCAAGACAGUUCUAUUAAAUCAAUUGUCAAUAUUAACAUAAUUGAUUGUUUCAUCCAAUAAUGUUAUAUUCCAGGUUUUUCUUUUAAAAAAGACUACUUUUAAGAGCAGUUUUAGGUUCACAGCAAAACUGAAAGGAAGGUAGGAAGAUUUUCCAUAUAUCCCCUCCCCCCACAAGUGCAUAGCCUCCCUCUUCAUCAACAUCCCUCAUCAGAGUAGUGCAUUUGUUACAAUUGAUGAAGAUACAUUGACACAUCAUAAUCACCCAAAGUUCAUAGUUUACAUUAAGGUUCACUCUUGAUGUUGUACAUUCUAUGGGUUUGGACAAAUAUGUAAUGAUAUGUACCCACCAAUGUAGUAUCCUACAGAGUAAUUUCACUGCCCUGAAAAAUCCUCUGUGCUCCACUUAUUCAUCCCUCCCCUUCUCCCUGUGGUGUCUUCUUUAGGUGGACAGAAAACAAUGUCACUGCAUCUUGCCAGUUUUACAGAAUUGUAAAAUCACUGGAAUCUCAUCAAUUGUGUUAAAUUGCAAUUAUCUAGACCUAGAGAGUCAGAUGACCCUCAGAGAGGCCUGUUAAAAAAAUUAUCUUAACAUGACAUUAAAGCAUCAAGUAGUCAUCUUUCCUUUUGUAUUUGUUUCCUAGUGCUGCUGUAACAAAUUACCAAAAACUAGGUGGCUUAAAACAACACACAUUUAUUCUCUUAACAGUUCUGGAGAUCAGAAGUUAGAAAUCUGUUUCACAAGGGCUGAAACAGCCAUGUCAGAAGGGCCAUGUUCCUUUUGGAGGUUCUAUGAGAGAAUAUUUCCAUGCUUUUUCCAGCUUCUGAAGCUGCUUUCUCGCAUUCCUUGGUUCGUGGCCUCUUCCUCCAUCUUUAAAACCAACAGCAUAGCAUCCUCAAAUCUCUCUGCCUCCAUCUUCGCAUCACCUUUUCUCUUAUAAGGAUCCUUGGGAUUACACCAGGCACACCUGGAUAAUUCAAGGUAACUCCCCUAUUUCAAGGUAAACUGAUUUGCAACCUUAAUUCCCCCAGCUAUGUAACAUAACAUAUUCACAGGUUCUGAGGAGCAGGACAUGGAGAUCUUAAGUAGGGGUAGUCAUUAUUCUUCCCGUCUUACUCUUGCUUCCAAAUUUUGAAUGAUUUUUUAUAGCCUCAUCUUAGACAUUUUAUUCUUCAACUUGCUUUUGUCACUUAAAAAAUUUUUUUUUUAGUUUUUGAGACAGGGUCUUGCUGUGUCACCCAGUCUGGGGUGCAGUGGUGCGAUCAUGGCUCACUGCAGCCUCAAUCUUCUGAUCUCAAGUGAUCCUCCCACCUCAGCCUCCCAAGUAG
rnacentral:lncRNA from 1 species